rnacentral:rRNA from 1 species
AGAGUUUGAUCAUGGCUCAGGAUGAACGCUAGCUACAGGCUUAACACAUGCAAGUCGAGGGGCAGCAUGUUGGUUGCUUGCAACCAAUGAUGGCGACCGGCGCACGGGUGAGUAACGCGUAUCCAACCUACCCUUGUCCAUCGGAUAACCCGUCGAAAGGCGGCCUAACACGAUAUGCGGUUCACAGCAGGCAUCUAAGGUGAACGAAAUGUGAAGGAGAAGGGUGGGGAUGCGUCUGAUUAGCUUGUUGGCGGGGCAACGGCCCACCAAGGCUACGAUCAGUAGGGGUUCUGAGAGGAAGGUCCCCCACAUUGGAACUGAGACACGGUCCAAACACCUACGGGAGGCA